rnacentral:tRNA from 1 species
UCCGGGGUCGGCUAAUGGUAGGCCACAUGGCUCUGGACCAUGGAAUCGGGGUUCGAAUCCCUGCCCCGGAG